CCAAUCAAGCUCAAACCAAAUUUAAUUAAAUUAUAUUUAAUUAGACUUAAUCUCAACCCAUUGGCUUAAUCAAAUUAAGUCAAUUAGCAAUCAAAUUGCUAAUCGAUCCUCCUGCAACACUUGCACUAGGUUAAAUGUCAAUCGUAUUGAUCAUUUAACCCUAGAACGAUUCUUAAUCAUUGAUCAACUAUCCGAUCGGAUCAUGAACUCUAAUGUGUAUGACCUCAUAGGUCUAAACCUAAGCCGGUAGUACAGGAAUAAAUUUUUAUACCAAUCAAAGUGACCAUCUAGCAAUGGUACUCGACGACCGGAUAGGUCGAAUGUGUAGAACAACAUCCUUAGAACCCAUGCGGAUAUAGUUUUCAUAUAAUUCAUCCCCUUGACCAAAGUGAUCAUAGGACAUCUCAGAGUUCAACUGUCAACUCUGAUCAGGUUGUCCACAUUGUAUUUCAAAAUAUCAAAUCCAUCUGAUGGAUUAUCUUGGCCAAGGUUUUGCUAAAUUGAAAUACAGCGACUCAUUCUUCUCCAACUCUUGGAGUGGUCAAUCCCAUCUCGAUCACACUCUGACUUUGCAAGUACUUGACUGUGCCUA
rnacentral:lncRNA from 1 species